rnacentral:rRNA from 1 species
UAGGGAAUCUUCGGCAAUGGACGAAAGUCUGACCGAGCAACGCCGCGUGAGUGAAGAAGGUUUUCGGAUCGUAAAACUCUGUUGUUAGAGAAGAACAAGGACGUUAGUAACUGAACGUCCUCUGACGGUAUCUAACCAGAAAGCCACGGCUAACUACGUGCCAGCAGCCGCGGUAAUACGUAGGUGGCAAGCGUUGUCCGGAUUUAUUGGGCGUAAAGCGAGCGCAGGCGGUUUCUUAAGUCUGAUGUGAAAGCCCCCGGCUCAACCGGGGAGGGUCAUUGGAAACUGGGAGAAAUGAGUGCAGAAGAGGAGGGUGGAAUUCCAUGUGUAGCUGUGAAAUGCGUAGAUAUAUGGAGGAACACCAGUGGCGAAGGCGGCUCUCUGGUCUGUAACUGACGCUGAGGCUAGAAAGCGUGGGGAGCAAACAGG